UACAUUCUUGUAUUGUGUUAAUAUGUUAUGCUUUAAUAUUAUUUGUAUGUUCAUUAACUUUAAUUGUAACAAUAUGAGUUUGCAUUGAACUUGCUGGGGAGAGGUGAAAGCUAUGAGAUGCCCUCAUGUGAUUUUUGUCAUCUUUGUGAUGUUGAACUUCAGAUGCUGCGAAAUCCAUGCUGAACGUGACUGAAUAAACCCCCAUGUUGGUGAACUACAAUACGUGUCCUGGUCCUAUAAUACACAACGCAGAGAGACUGAGAAGAGCAACAGCGGUCAGCGAGCGGACCAGUUACACUCAGACCACUGCGUAAAUUGGCCAUUUCAUCUGCAACAAACCUGUAUAGAAAACAGAUGCAAGGAAUGCAAUGGAAUAUAGCCUGCAUUAGACUUAGAUAUCUAAUGCAGUGUGAAAUGAUCUGUGAGAUUUAGUAUUUGAGGAAGUUACCAUUCAUCUGUCAUCUUAUCAUAGCACUCCACAUCACAGGUGGUGCUUAUUCCAUUAAACCCUCCGACAGCAAACAACCGACCAUUAACUACCUGGAUUUUGAGGAAGUUAAAAAGGAAAAUACCAUAGACUGUAAAAAAAUAUGGACGUAGUAUCCGUGACGUCACCCGUAGGUUUCUGAAGACCGUUUUUGAUGCCUAAAGUGGGCGUAGCCGACCGUCGCCAUCUUGGCAUUGCGUCACUCCCGGAAAAUCGAAAAUGGUCAACUAGGCGGGACGUGGGUGGAGCCGUGGAACCUGUUGCUGAAAACAUGCCCACCUAGCUCGACGCUAUCAAGUUGUCUUUGAAUCCUUUAAAUGGAAGAUAUUGGCGGUUGGAUUUUGAACCGAAUCAAACCAAGCUUACAAUUUGAGUGAUCGAUUUUGAGGUGAUGGCCACCCGCGACAAAUGCACCACGUCUGCACAUAGCUUAAACUACACAGUGUGGAUCAUUGGUGACAGCUAUGUCAGACGUGGUGCCCAGAGAGCUGCAGAGACCAUGGGAAGCAACCUCAGUCUGCCAGGCGUCCGUGUCUGUUGGUUUGGUUGUGGUGGGCUGCGGUGGAAAAGACUCCGUUCUUCUCCCACUCCCUGUGAGGAAGAGCAGCACCGGAUGUCCUCCUCAUCCACUGUGGCGGCAAUGACCUGGGGGUGGUCAGCAGCGUCCAGCUGGUGAACACCAUAAAGGAGGACCUGCACCAGCUUAAACUCCGGCACCCUGGCAUGAAGAUCAUGUUUUCAGCUGUGACCCAGAGGUGCCGGUGGAAGGCCGGUGCCAAUCCAGUUAAAAUUGACAAGGCGAGAAAGUUUGUUAACAGUGUUAUGGCUACAUUUGUUCGUAGUUUAAAUAGUGCCAUGAUUGAGCACCCUUGCAUUAGACAUGACAGUCCUGGGCUAUUUUUGAAAGAUGGAGUUCAUUUCACACCUAGGGGAAAUGAUAUGUUUUUAAGUACAUUAGCUAACUGCCUUAAAGGCCACAUUCAAAUGCAGUAAACUCCGUACAGUUGGCAGUGUUACUGCUUUUGAAUUUUGCCUUUAUGGACAUUUUUGUAAGGCUCAAAUAUAGCCCUGACCAUCAUGUCUAAUUUUGAGGUUUUUAUGUUAAUUUAGAAACACCUGUAGCCAUAACACUGUUACCACCUCUGCUCUUCCUCAUCCAUAAAUCCCCCCUUCCCUUUUAAUAAAAAAGAUUCAAUCUUUCACCGUUGUUUGAGCAGUUUUUAAGGCAUGCAUUGAUUUUUCAUUUCAUUGUUUUAUGAAGUAAAUUUAGAAAAAUGUUUUGAUUAUUGUUUUAAUGUUUAUCAAAAAUGAGUUGCCAUGAA